UUCGGUUCGGAUAAUUGUGGUUACUAACGGUUCAGUUCGGUUAAUGAAUUGUUAUCAAAAUAAUGGUUCGGUUCAAGAAUUGGUUAAAUGGUUCAGUUAAUUCUGAUACG
rnacentral:pre_miRNA from 1 species